GACGAACGCUGGCGGCGUGCUUAACACAUGCAAGUCGAACGGAAAGGCCCUGCGUUUGUGGGGUGCUCGAGUGGCGAACGGGUGAGUAACACGUGAGUAACCUGCCCUUGACUUUGGGAUAACUUCAGGAAACUGGGGCUAAUACCGGAUAGGAGCUCCUGCUGCAUGGUGGGGGUUGGUAAGUUUCGGCGGUUGGGGAUGGACUCGCGGCUUAUCAGCCUGUUGGUGGGGUAGUGGCUUACCAAGGCUUUGACGGGUAGCCGGCCUGAGAGGGUGACCGGCCACAUGGGGACUGAGAUACGGCCCAGAAUCCUACGGGAGGCAGCAGUGGGGAAUAUUGCAGAAUGGGCGGAAGCCUGAUGCAGCAACGCCGCGUGCGGGAUGACGGCCUUCGGGUUGUAAACCGCUUUCGCCUGUGACGAAGCGUGAGUGACGGUAAUGGGUAAAGAAGCACCGGCUAACUACGUG
rnacentral:rRNA from 1 species